AGAAUUGCAUUGACCACAUCAUUUCUCUUGCCAAUCUAAAAACUGCUCUGUUGCCGUCUUGUCUCUUCAUCUGAGAUUUCUUCAUUAAGACGCUUCCAUAUUCCCAAGGGGGUGUUCUCCAUCAAAUCCAUUCAUAUCCCUUUUCAAACUCCCCCAUUUUAUUUUCUUCUUCGAAACUUCAAUUUGGUUCUCUCACCUUAUCCCUUUCCUCUUGCUCCGCUGCAGAUUCUGGAACGCUUCCUAUCAGUUACGCGAGUGCUUCAACAGCGAAAGUUAUGCAACUCUUUGAUGGAUCUCUGAACACGAUAACAGAACAUUUCCUUCACUGUUUCUAGCCACUAUCCCCAUUGUCGAUUGACGCAUUCUCCCGUCAUAUGCUGCAUCAAAAUUAAUCUUCACAAUCUGCUCAGAUUUACUAGCCUUCUUAUGCACUUUAGCGUUCCUGUCUCCCCAGAUUGCCCAUAAUGCACAGCAAAGAAUCCUACACUGGAAUGGAGAGCUCUGCAAAAAUAACCAGGACAUUCACGGAAUAGAUGGUCUAGAUUCUUUUGUUCCACUUUCACACCGGGGGUAUAUUGUAGUAUUCGAUAACUUCCUUUGUAACAUGUUAACUCGUCUGGGUAGAUAGUUCCACGAUAUUUUCCAGACUGUAAUUUUUAUUUUUGGAGGUAGAUUGAGAAGCCAUAGUUUUUUUAUAAAAUUCCUUAUAGUCGGUUUGUAAAGCGUAAGCUCUAAGAUCAUCUUCGUUACUUUGUAAUAGUUUAUAGGCACUACCCAUUGUGUACUCUCUCGAUGGCUCACCAUUCCAAGCUCAAAAAUCUUCAUGAGGUUCCUCUGCCAACGGAAUGCUAAGAAUCUUCUCGGCUACUUCCUCCGGAAAGGGCAGUUCGGGCUCCGGUUUCUAAUUGCUGGGCAACACACCCAAGCGCCACAUGCGCCACCGUAUGCGGUGGUCAGAAGGUUAAAAACCUUUGCCUUUCCAGGCGAAACACAGGUACCAGCGAGGAGGCUAGUAAUAAAAAGGCACUGACGAUGGCACACCGGCGUUGAUUCAGGCGUCGGUCAUGGCGUGAUACGGAGCUUGGAAUCACGACAUUAAUGGUGGGUCACUGCGAGACGAACAGACGUGUCUGUUGGGGUGCUUACGGCGCUUAGGGUUUCUGAAACCCUAGGCCUUUCUGUCUCCUGUUAACGAAGUGGGCCACUUGUGCCAUAUGUAUUUUGGGCAGCACUUGGGCACUUGGGUUUGAGUGUAAUCGGGUACUGGGUAGUGUAGGUUGAUUGGGCUUUGGGUCAUCAGUUGGGCUAUUGGGUUUUGUUAAUGGACUGUAAAUGGACUUUAUUUUAAUAAAUUUUUAUUUUUUUA